GAAAUGCGAUAAUUAAUGUGAAUUGCAGAAUUCAGUGAAUCAUCGAGUCUUUGAACGCACAUUGCGCCCCCUGGUAUUCCGGGGGGCAUGUCUGUCCGAGCGUCAUUGCUGCCCUCAAGCACGGCUUGUGUGUUGGGCUUCCGUCCCUGGCAACGGGGACGGGCCCAAAAGGCAGUGGCGGCACCAUGUCUGGUCCUCGAGCGUAUGGGGCUUUGUCACCCGCUCCCGUAGGUCCAGCUGGCAGCUAGCCUCGCAACCAAUCUUUUUAACCAGGUUGACCUCGGAUCAGGUAGGGAUACCCGCUGAAUUUAAGC
rnacentral:misc_RNA from 1 species